rnacentral:rRNA from 1 species
UACGUAGGUCGCAAGCGUUGUCCGGAUUUACUGGGCGUAAAGAGCGCGUAGGCGGCUGGGCAAGUGGGAGGUGAAAGCUUCCGGCUUAACUGGAAAAUUGCAUCGGAAACUGGUCGGCUUGAAGGUGGGAGAGGGUAGCGGAAUUCCUGGUGUAGCAGUGAAAUGCGUAGAUAUCAGGAGGAACACCGAUGGCGAAGGCAGGUCUCUGGGCUGACACUGACGCUCAUGCACGAAAGCGUGGGGAGCAAACAGG